UUAUGAUUACCGCACUGACAUGUGAUCCCGGGACGCCAUACAACAAUAAUGCCCCCUCAAUCCACAUUCGUGAACCAAAUCCAGUCUCCUGGCUUAUAAGAGAUCCUGUUAGCACCUGCAGGUGUAACAGGACGGCGGCCCAUACUGCACAAGGUGGUCUUGAUAGGACCCUUCUCAGGCAAAUGGCGGCUGUUGUGUUCUCGUCUGCCAUUGUCGCGGUCCGAUUCUCCCCGCGCAGCCUCCGCCCCCUUGCCGCCGCUCUAUCCGGCAGAGGGGGCGGGGAACAGCGGCGGCUCGUGCUCUACACGAAGCCUGGUUGUUGCCUCUGCGACGGCCUUAAGGAGAAGCUCGACGCCGCCAUCUAUCUCGACGGCCCUUCCUCCAUUCACCUCCAGGUGAGGGACAUUACGGCGAAUCCCGAGUGGGAGAAGCUUUACCAGUACGAAAUUCCCGUCCUUGCCAAAAUUCGCCCGGAUGGAACUGAGUGUCGAUACCUCCAAAGGAAGUCUUUAUUCAGGUGCAUGUUGAGCUUGUGGGCCCCACUUUAGGCACCUAUUAACGAGGUGAGGAAACUGACAUAGUGAGGUGGGCACCACCUAUUUGAAGCAGCUCUCCUUUGCCAUAAAUAGAGGCAAGGAGGGCAAUGGAAGGGAAGAACGGCAGCAUGGCAAGGAGGAAGAUUGAUGAUCAUGAAGGGAAGCUUGGGUUGUUUGCUUUAGUUUCUUCAUUACGAAACACUUCCAAGGUUAUCUCCUCGUCUUGGGGUGGAGCUCAUCCAGAAGAAAAUUGCUGCUGCAUUUGAGCAAUAAAUGGAAUUUUAUUCUCUUUUUCAUCCCUUAUUCAAAUGGAUCAGAAAGCAUUAUGUGUAAAUGCAUGAACAAUGUUUUUACCAUUUUCUACAUGUAAUUCACGAACCAUCUAAUGUUGCAACAAUAAUGCUAUUUGAUGUAUUAUCUUCUCUCAGGAUCAAUGUGAUGAUCUGUUUGCAGUGGCCAUCAA